AUUGAACGCUGGCGGCAGGCCUAACACAUGCAAGUCGAGCGGAGCGGCGGACGGGUGAGUAAUGCCUAGGAAUCUGCCUGGUAGUGGUGGAUAAGGUCCGGAAACGGGCGCUAAUACCGCAUACUAUCAGAUGAGCCUAGUUCGGAUUAGAUAGUGGGUGGGGUAAAUGCCUACCAGGGCGACGAUCCGUAACUGGUCUGAGAGGAGGAUCAGUCACACUGGAACUGAUACACGGUCCAGAUUCCUACGUGAGGCAGCAGUGGGGAAUAUUGGCAAAUGGGCGAAAGCCUGAUCCAGCCCGGCCGCGUAGGUGAAGAAGGUCUUCGGAUUGUAAAGCACUUGAAGUUGGGAGGCGUUACCAACAGAAUAAGCACCGGCUAACUUCGUGCCAGCAGCCGCGGUAAUAC
rnacentral:rRNA from 1 species